UACGUAGGGUGCAAGCGUUAAUCGGAAUUACUGGGCGUAAAGCGUGCGCAGGCGGCUUUACAAGACAGAUGUGAAAUCCCCGGGCUUAACCUGGGAACUGCAUUUGUGACUGCACGGCUGGAGUGCGGCAGAGGGGGAUGGAAUUCCGCGUGUAGCAGUGAAAUGCGUAGAUAUGCGGAGGAACACCGAUGGCGAAGGCAAUCCCCUGGGCCUGCACUGACGCUCAUGCACGAAAGCGUGGGGAGCAAACAGG
rnacentral:rRNA from 1 species